rnacentral:misc_RNA from 1 species
AACUUGCGACAACGGAUCUCUUGGUUCUGGCAUCGAUGAAGAACGCAGCGAAAUGCGAUAAGUAAUGUGAAUUGCAGACUUCAGUGAAUCAUCGAAUCUUUGAACGCAGAUUGCGCCCGCCAGUAUUCUGGCGGGCAUGCCUGUUCGAGCGUCAUUUCAACCAUCAAGCCCCCGGCUUGUGUUGGGGACCUGCGGCUGCCGCAGGCCCUGAAAACCAGUGGCGGGCUCGCUAGUCACUCCGAGCGUAGUAAUACAUCUCGCUCAGGGCGUGCUGCGGGUUCCGGCCGUUAAAAGCCUUAUUUACCCAAGGUUGACCUCGGAUCAGGUAGGAAGACCCGCUGAACUUAAGCAUAUCAAUAAGCGGAGGCU